AAGGAAAGGUGAAAAGAACCCUUGUUAAGGGAGUGAAAUAGAACCUGAAACCAGUAGCUUAUAAGCGGUCGAAGACCUAUAACUUCUUAGGAAGUCAUGGUUGACGGCGUGCCUUUUGCAUGAUGAGCCAGGGAGUUAAGUUAAACGGCGAGGUUAAGGGAUUUACAUUCCGGAGCCGAAGCGAAAGCGAGUUUUAAAAGAGCGUUUAGUCGUUUGAUUUAGACACGAAACCAAGUGAGCUAUUUAUGACCAGGUUGAAGCAUGGGUAAGACCUUGUGGAGGACCGAACCAGUACAUGUUGAAAAAUGUUUGGAUGAGUUGUGAAUAGGGGUGAAAGGCCAAUCAAACUUGGAGAUAUCUUGUUCUCUCCGAAAUAACUUUAGGGUUAGCCUCGGAUAUUAAGCUUUUGGGGGUAGAGCACUGAAUUCUAGCGGGGGCCUACCGGCUUACCAACGGAAAUCAAACUCCGAAUACCAAAAGCGAGUCCGGGAGAUAGACAGCGGGGGCUAAGCUUCGUUGUCGAGAGGGGAACAGCCCAGACCGCCGAUUAAGGUCCCAAAUUUUAUGCUAAGUGAGUAAGGAAGUGAUGAUUCUAAGACAGUUGGAAUGUUGGCUUAGAGGCAGCAAUCAUUUAAAGAGUGCGUAACAGCUCACCAAUCGAGAAUCAU
rnacentral:rRNA from 1 species